UACGGGGGGGGGCAAGCGUUGUUCGGAAUUACUGGGCGUAAAGGGCUCGUAGGCGGCCAACUAAGUCCGACGUGAAAUCCCCCAGGCUUAACCUGGGAACUGCGUCGGAUACUGGUUGGCUUGAAUCCGGGAGAGGGAUGCGGAAUUCCAGGUGUAGCGGUGAAAUGCGUAGAUAUCAGGAGGAACACCGGUGGCGAAGGCGGUUCUCUGGGCAUUACCUGACGCUGAGGAGCGGAAGUGUGGGGAGCGAACAGG
rnacentral:rRNA from 1 species